AUUAUUGUGCAAUUUUAUCAUUAUAUUUACCAUAUAUUUACUUCUAUCCUACACACCUACAUAUCUGCAAAAACCUUGUUAUUCUUUGGAUUUUUAAGGCAUUUAAAAUACAGCAACCAGUUCUUUAAUCUCCUGAUACGAAGGAGGCAUCCUUAAAAAUCCCCCUUCCUAUAUCUAGUGAAGACACCAUAGACUAUACGUCAAUCAAAGCGUCUAGGGAGUUACAGGAGAUAACAGCUUCUUCAAAAGUUCUCAAGAAACUGAAAUAAAUGUGGGCAUGACUGACUGGAUAAUUAAGAAGGUUGAAAUAGGUGAUUCUAGCCUUCAGUCAAGGCACACUGACUGAGUCAGAAAGUAACAAAUAAACAUAAAAAUAUCAAGGGGAAAAUCUGCAAGAGACAUUCCUCAUUCUGAGCUAAUAUUCAUGAACCAUGCAAGGAAGAACUGAGCCAACACAGAGAAACACAAAGAUUUUAUAGCUCUAUUUGAAAAGGAAAGUUUUAUGGAAUAAAUUAAGAUAGGCCUACCCUAUGCAUUCCUAUGGGCCAUAUGGAAUUAAGUGAUGGACCAGAGCUUGCCUCCAACUUGUCUAAAUCCCAAAGGAAUAAAUAAUUAAGGGCUAUGAACACAAAGACUAGUGUUUUGGUCGUUAAAUGUAACUUUGCUUGAAGCAGGUUAUGCAUGUAAAGAAUCAAACAGCGAAUUCUAAAAGGCUAAGUCUUCUUCUUCCUUCUUAUAUAUAAAGACCAAGAAUGUAUUAUGACAUCACGAAAACAACUUUGCCACUGCCUACCACUCGGGCUUUGCCAGAACAAAGUCAGUAAGAUGGCGCGGUAAUCAGCCUCCAAGAUGGCUACCAAGGAUUCCUGCCAUCUGGUGUUGGCAACCUUGUGGAAUCUGAUCCCACAUUGUACCAGAGGUGGUCUGUGUGACUAACGGCACCUGGCAGAAGAGAUGGAAUCAUCAGAUGGACAUUUCCAGUUGUUGCAAGCCAGCAGCAUUUCAGAGAGGAGGAGGAAAGUCACAUCUGGCCAGAUCUUCAACGUGUUUCUAAGUCUGUUUGUCCCUGCCUCUCCUGCUGUUUCUUCUGCUUCCAAAAAUAUGAUUAACGUCUAUGAAUUUAUAACACUCUGCAUUGUAAGCAAGGCUGAGGGCUGUCCAUCCCAACGAGGGUGAGGUAUGGAGUUAAUGAGAAGUGAGACUGGGGAACGAACAGAAAGAUGCCAAUGUUAAAGUAAUUGAGCAUGAAUAUCAAACGCUGACUUGGGAACAGUCUUCAUUUGCUGAUAGUCUGAUCAGCUGGUGGGCAGAGGGAACAAGCACAGACCCGCAUUCGCAGCAGGCCCCAGAAAUUCCCUAUCACCCCGGCGAAUGCAUUAUAACCUGGUGACCUUUGUGUCCCGAUCUGCAAUCAAGUGUUUUCUUUUUCCCCUUCUUUCCUUCCCUCCCUCCCUCUUUAUUUCUUUCCUUCCUAUGACAGGUUUCCUCCCUUCUUUCUGAAUUGAUCUCAUCCAUCCCCAAGCCUCAUAAAGAAUUUAAAUUUU